UUAACUGAAACCAAAAAGAGGUAUAUUAUUGUUAAUAAUAAAAAUGAAUUAAAAACUCCAGUUAA
rnacentral:tRNA from 1 species